GGAUGGCUCAGUGGUUAAGAGCACUGACUGCUCUUCCAGGGGUCCUGGGUUCAAAUCCCAGCAACCA
rnacentral:tRNA from 1 species